rnacentral:lncRNA from 1 species
AUCACUUCACGGUCGGAUCUAGCCAUAGAAUGCCAGAUCCGACUAGAUCUCCCCAUGGGUGUCCCAAAUCAUGCCCCCCAGCACCGAUUUGGUGCUCCCCAAAUUGGGGGAGCACAAGAUUCUGCUCCUCAGAGGAGCAUUGAGAUGCACGCCUCCUGGCAGAAUUUGGGGCUCCUUGAACAGAUUUGACCGUGAGGUGGUUGGUCGGCGAGAGAUAGUAUAAUUUUUUU